rnacentral:rRNA from 1 species
GACGAACGCUGGCGGCGUGCUUAACACAUGCAAGUCGAACGGAAAGGCCCUGCUUUUGUGCCCUUCUCGGUUGCCGAAGGCGUGAGUAACACGUGUGUAUCCUCCCCUUUACUUUCGGAUAACUUCACGUAACUGGGGCUACUACCGUAUAGCAUCUCCUGCACCACGGUGGGCGUUGGAUAGUUUAGGCUGUUGGGGAUGGAGUCGCGGCUUACCAGCUUGAUGGUGGGGUAGUUGCUGACCAAGGCUUUGACGGGUAGCCGGCCUGAGAGGGUGACCGGGCACAAUGGUACUGAGAGAGGGAGCAGUAUCAUAUGGGAGGCAACAGGGGGGAAUAUUGCACAAUGGGAGGGCGUGUGAGGCAACAGCGCCGCGUGCGGGAUGACGGGCUUCGGGUUGAAAACCGCUUUCGCCUGUGACGACGCGUGAGUGACGGUAAUGAGUAAAGAAGCACCGGCUAACUACGUG